rnacentral:lncRNA from 1 species
AUCUAUGCACUUUGAUUGUGCUUCAUUAAACCACAAGUUUCCCAGCUACUGGCACUGUUUUGAGAAGAGGGUGAAACUUCGGGUGGAUCCUGGCUGGAAGUGGAUGGAAAUGCGACUUAGAAGGUGCACUGAACGAGCUCUGUGGGCAGCACGGCUUUCUGUCGACUGUCCUGCAUCUUCUCCAGCAGCAAAAGCAGCUGGAAGGGGACACUUCUCUUCUGUUCUUCUGCACCCCNAGGCACUGUUAUCCUGCCGAGUAAGAACAGCCAGGCAGCUCAGACCCAUCACGCUCCAGGCCAGGAGCACGCUG